GCUACUUUUUUUCUCUAUAUAACUUCUCAUCUGAAUUGUAACACGAGAUUUACAAAUGUUUUCGGGGAAAACCCAUUUCUGGGAAGGUAUUCUUCGGGAAUACUCAUUUUCGGCAGCUAGGAAAGAAAAUCCAAACACAAAGUAGUUACCGAUCUCUUGCUCAGGUAGCUUAGGAAGCGGAAUAGUUCUUGCCAUGGCUUUUCCUAUUGAAAGUUCUCAGAGAGCAGAUGCUUUUUGGAAGAGAUUUAUGGUUGUUGCAUCCAUGAGAUGAUGAGGAAUGUAGAUGUUCUUGAACAUAUGGGUUUUUGAUCAAGUGAACCUUGUCUUGAUGGCUUUCUUGAUCAGAUUGUUGCAUUAUCAAGGGACGGGAGAAGAAAUGCCUAUUACUCGCGGUAACUCAGGAUUCCAACAUGAGCACCUACCACCGCCACUGCCAAAUGAGGAGGAGCAUGAUUUGGCGAAAUUGAGAAUGCUUGUAAAAACAUUAACAGACAAGGUUCAAGGAUGAACAAGAGUUGACGGAGCUAAAGAGGCAAAAGGUAAUUGAAAAUGGAGAUAGGGCUCAUGUUGAGAGUCAUGUGAGGGAAGGCAGUUCCUCACAUCCUGCCACUCCGAGAGAUCAUAAGUCUAAAAAGGAGGAAACUAGGCAGGAGGAACAGAGAGCCCCACUGACCAUUACUGAUGUGUGGGAAACUGUUAGGAAGUUUAAUCCUCCUAUAUUUGAUGAAGAAUGGGUGAAGAGACUCGAGUCCAUCUUUCGAGUAGUCACGUGCACCAGUAAUCAGAAAGUGCAAGUAGCAUUAGUGCUCCUAGUAAAGGGAGCAAGAGAUUGGUAGGAGACAGUAGGACCCAGGGAUGAUUCUACACUCAUAUGGGAGGAAUUCAAGAAAAAAUUGUUCAGACAUUACUUUCCAUCAGAGUUAAGGUCUGAAAAGGAAGUUGAGUUAUCACGGGAACCUCGAUGAGGACACAUUCAUUGCUAAGUUUCAAGAGUUAUCUAGAUAAUCCAUGUACCUACAGUAUAGGGAUGAUUCUGAAUGGAAGGCCAAGCGCUUAUUGGAGAAGGCUAGACCAGAAUUGAGGGAGCAAUUGGCUCAUCUAGAUAUUCGAGAUUAUGACAAAAUAUGCAUAAAACUACAAGUAGUAGCUCACAGUAAGAAGGAGGUCAAGAGAGAGAAGAGGGGUUAUUCAUAUAGUAGACCCCCAACCUACCCCCGACCCACCGGAGGCAUUACGAAGAAAAACCAUCAGAGUUCGAGCAGCUCAUGGAAUCAAGGAAGGUAGAAGGGUCCAUUUUAAAAGGGCCAAGGAUAGAUGAGCUAUCAUAGUAGUUAUCACGGGUCACAGAGGAGCCCAAUAGUAUCUACCCCUGCCCCGAGUACAGCGAGCUCUCAGCAGUGCACUAAAUGAGGGCGUCGUCUUUUCGGACAGUGCUGGGUCUGUUAUAUUUGUGGGAAACUCGAUCACAUUGCAAAGUUUUAUGGGGACAACCAGGGCUCAAAUAUAAAGAACCCUUCCCAGCAUCCUAUUGUCUCUAGCCAUGUGUUUGCCCUUACUCAGGACACGAUAAACUCCCCAGAUGCCAUUAGAGGACCUAACUCAUUAGAUCCAGUGUGGGGAAACAUUCUGAGGUAUAGGAUUGUGGUGAAAAUACUACUCUCAUGCCUCUUUACUCUAUUUUUGGUGUUAAUGUUGUAUAAUUGCCAAUUAGAAUCACAUGUCA